UACGUAGGGUGCAAGCGUUUGUCCGGAAUUAUUGGGCGUAAAGAGCUCGUAGGCGGUUUUGUCGCGUCGGGAGUGAAAAACCUCGGGCUUAACUCGGGGGCUUGCUUUUCGAUACGGGCAGACUAGAGUUCGGUAGGGGGAGACUGGAAUUCCUGGUGUAGUGGUGAAAAUGCGUAGAGAUCGGGAGGAACACCUGUGGCGAAGG
rnacentral:rRNA from 1 species